rnacentral:rRNA from 1 species
AUUGAACGCUGGCGGCAGGCCUAACACAUGCAAGUCGAGCGAGCGGCGGACGGGUGAGUAAUGUAUGGGGACUGCCCGAUAGAGGGGGAUAACUACUGGAAACGGUGGCUAAUACCGCAUACUAUCGGAUAACCCAUAUGGGAUUAGCUAGUAGGUGGGGGAAAUGCUCCCCUGUGCGACGAUCUCUAGCUGUGCUGAGAGGAUGAAGAGCCACCAGGGGACGUAGACAAGGCCCAUACUCCUACGGAGGCAGCAGUGGGGAAUAUUGCACAAUGGGCGCAAGCCUGAUGCAGCCAUGCCGCGUGGAUGAAGAAGGCCUUAGGGUUGUAAAGUACUUUCAGCGGGGAGGCGUUACCCGCAGAAGAAGCACCGGCUAACUCCGUGCCAGCAGCCGCGGUAAUUC